rnacentral:misc_RNA from 1 species
CUCGUCUAGGGGUUUCUCAAGUUGUACAACAACAGCCUCCUCUGCCACAAUCCAGCCACCAGUAUUGGAUUUUUCUUGAUAAGAUGGGUUGGAACAACUCUUGGAGCAAGUAAAAACUAUGAGUGUCAUCCAGUUCCAAUUCUCUAGUGCAGGUUUUUGGCAAUCAUCAGCAGCAUCGUGUAGAAAAAAUAUUAAUGGGGGCAUCAGCUGCAUCUCGUAAUGCCUUGAACCACCACAAAGCUCACAUGACCCAGGGUCUCCCAAAUCCGGUGUUGCUAGAAGAGGCUUCCCACCAUACAAAUACCUGAAGCAUUGCUCCGGGUUAGCAUCCAACUUCUUCUUGAACUUGAGGUAUGUCCUGUCGGCAGUUAAAGCUUUAUCAUAUUCAUAACCUUCAUCUCCCCAAGCUUCUUCUUGUUCUUGAUGAUCAUUAUCUCUUUGUUUCUCCUU